CCUACGGGUGGCUGCAGUGGGGAAUUUUGGACAAUGGGGGCAACCCUGAUCCAGCCAUUCCGCGUGAGUGAAGAAGGCCUUCGGGUUGUAAAGCUCUUUCGGCCGGGAAGAAAUCGCAUCUCCUACUACGGGGUGUGGAUGACGGUACCGGAAGAAGAAGCACCGGCUAACUACGUGCCAGCAGCCGCGGUAAUACGUAGGGUGCGCGCGUUAUUCGGAGUUACUGGGCGUAAAGCUUAGACAGGUGUGAAAUCCCCGGGCGUAACCUGGGAACUGCGUUUGUGACUGGUGGGCUUGAGUGCGGCAGAGGGGGGUGGAAUUCCACGUGUAGCAGUGAAAUGCGUAGAGAUGUGGAGGAACACCGAUGGCGAAGGCAGCCCCCUGGGUCGACACUGACGCUCAUGCACGAAAGCGUGGGGAGCAAACAGGAUUAGAUACCCCUGUAGUC
rnacentral:rRNA from 1 species